UGAGGAAUAUUGGUCAAUGGGCGAGAGCCUGAACCAGCCAAGUAGCGUGCAGGAUGACGGCCCUAUGGGUUGUAAACUGCUUUUAUGUGGGGAUAAAGUGCGUGACGUGUCAUGCAUUGCAGGUACCACAUGAAUAAGGACCGGCUAAUUCCGUGCCAGCAGCCGCGGUAAUACGGAAGGUCCGGGCGUUAUCCGGAUUUAUUGGGUUUAAAGGGAGCGUAGGCUGUCUAUUAAGCGUGUUGUGAAAUAUACCGGCUCAACCGGUGGCUUGCAGCGCGAACUGGUCGACUUGAGUAUGCAGGAAGUAGGCGGAAUUCAUGGUGUAGCGGUGAAAUGCUUAGAUAUCAUGACGAACUCCGAUUGCGAAGGCAGCUUACGGGAGCGCAACUGACGCUGAAGCUCGAAGGUGCGGGUAUCGAACAGG
rnacentral:rRNA from 1 species